rnacentral:rRNA from 1 species
UUGGAGGGCAAGUCUGGUGCCAGCAGCCGCGGUAAUUCCAGCUCCAAUAGCGUAUAUUAAAGUUGUUGCAGUUAAAAAGCUCGUAGUUGAAUUUCGGGGUCAGCAGGUUGGUCGUGCCAAUGGUAUGCACUGGCCUUGGUGAUUCCUCCCUCUUGUAGAACCGUAAUGCCAUUAAGUUGGUGUUGCGGGGAAACAGGACUGUUACUUUGAAAAAAUUAGAGUGUUUAAAGCAGGCUAACGCCUGAAUACACUAGCAUGGAAUAAUGAAAUAGGACGAUCGAUCCUAUUUUGUUGGUUUCUAGGAUUGACGUAAUGAUUAAUAGGGAUAGUUGGGGGCAUUAGUAUUCAAUUGUCAGAGGUGAAAUUCUUGGAUUUAUUGAAGACUAACUACUGCGAAAGCAUUUGCCAAGGAUGUUUUCAUUAAUCAAGAACGAAAGUUAGGGGAUCGAAGACGAUCAGAUACCGUCGUAGUCUUAACCAUAAACUAUGCCGACUAGGGAUCGGAUGAUGUUAAUUUUUUAAUGACUCAUUCGGCGCCUUACGGGAAAC